GGGAACGUACCCUUCGGUUCGGAAUAACUCAGGGAAACUUGAGCUAAUACCGGAUACGUCCUUUUGGGGAAAGGUUUACUGCCGAAGGAUCGGCCCGCGUCUGAUUAGCUUGUUGGUGGGGUAACGGCCUACCAAGGCGACGAUCAGUAGCUGGUCUGAGAGGAUGAUCAGCCACACUGGGACUGAGACACGGCCCAGACUCCUACGGGAGGCAGCAGUGGGGAAUAUUGGACAAUGGGCGCAAGCCUGAUCCAGCCAUGCCGCGUGAGUGAUGAAGGCCUUAGGGUUGUAAAGCUCUUUUGUCCGGGACGAUAAUGACGGUACCGGAAGAAUAAGCCCCGGCUAACUUCGUGCCAGCAGCCGCGGUAAUACGAAGGGGGCUAGCGUUGCUCGGAAUCACUGGGCGUAAAGGGCGCGUAGGCGGCCGAUUAAGUCGGGGGUGAAAGCCUGUGGCUCAACCACAGAAUUGCCUUCGAUACUGGUUGGCUUGAGACCGGAAGAGGACAGCGGAACUGCGAGU
rnacentral:rRNA from 1 species